UAAUCAUGUUGAUUGUCAUAUUAUGAGCGACUCUCCACUUCCCUCUUCUCCCACACGCAGAUACACCCACACAGACACACUCCGAAUUACACUUUAUUAGUGAUCCUUUGUGGCAAGGUCAUUGCUCAUAUCAAUGUGUUGCUAAUGUUAUUACUAUUACUGUGUGUUACGCUUCAAUUCAAUCACUUGGCAAUAUGAUUUAAAGCAGUUCAGUCGGAGCAGUAUGUUGGGCUGCGUCGUGCCAUUCAGAAAGAAAGAAAAAAAAGCAGGAGUACGUUCAACCCCCCUUCCUGCCCGCUUUCUUGUGCUACCUUGCUGUUAUAGCAGCGUUGCCACCAGAAGCAAAGGUUAUGUUAUCGUUUACUUGGCAGGAUGCUUUUGGCUGGUGUUUGUAAUUAAUACUGCAUUAAAUAAUUCGGCGUGACCCAUUUGAUUAAUAUAUCCACGUGCUUGCCUUUGGUUACUUACAGGCAUCGGCUUACAUAGUCUAUUGUUCACUCUGUUUGAUAUCUGGCAACUCUGCUCUGCGCCACUGAGCGUGAAUGUAGUACACGCAUGUAAUACGUUUGCAUGUGUCUGUGAGCAUGUUCGUGUGUGUGUGUGAAUGAGUGCUCCUAUUCAAAUAGAAAUUGAGUGCUUUGUACUCGAAACUCAGUCAAUUAGUCGCCAGAAGGCGGCGGCAGCGAUGACAACGUUAAAUGCAGGCGCGUCGAUAAGAAAAAAUAUUAUUUUUUAACCGCGCGUCAGUUUACAUUCCUCUGAAAUUCAUUGUACAAUGACCUGGUCUGAAAUCGUAUCCAAGCAAAGGGGGAGAUAAUAUCCGAAUAUUUUUCGUCUUUGCCUUUGGCCAGUUGUUGCUGCCAAUUAGAGAUGCGUGCGUGACUGUGAUGUGAGACGAUCGUUAAAGGCGAUAGUG